CCUACGGGAGGCAGCAGUGAGGAAUAUUGGUCAAUGGACGAGAGUCUGAACCAGCCAAGUAGCGUGAAGGAUGACUGCCCUAUGGGUUGUAAACUUCUUUUAUAAAGGAAUAAAACGAGGCACGUGUGCCUUUUUGCAUGUACUUUAUGAAUAAGGAUCGGCUAACUCCGUGCCAGCAGCCGCGGUAAUACGGAGGAUCCGAGCGUUAUCCGGUUUUAUUGGGUUUAAAGGGAGCGUAGAUGGGUUGUUAAGUCAGUUGUGAAAGGUUGCGGCUCAACCGUAAAAUUGCAAUUGAUACUGGCAGUCUUGAGUACAGUUGAGGUAGGCGGAAUUCGUGGUGUAGCGGUGAAAUGCUUAGAUAUCACGAAGAACCCCGAUUGCGAAGGCAGCUUACUAAACUGUGACUGACAUUGAUGCUCGAAAGUGUGGGUAUCAAACAGGAUUAGAUACCCCAGUAGUC
rnacentral:rRNA from 1 species